GCUCCGAUGGCCUAGUGGUUAGAGCGUCCGCCUCAGAUGCGGGUGGUGGUGGGUUCGAUCCUCGGUUGAGUCA